GACGAACGCUGGCGGCGCGCCUAACACAUGCAAGUCGAACGGUUAGGCCCUGCUUUUGUGGGGUGCUCGAGUCGCAAACGUGUGUAUAACACGUGAGUCAUCUGCCUUUCAUUUUGGUAUCACCUCAGGACACUGGGUCUAAUCCCGUAUAUCGGCUCCUCCUGCUUGGUGGGUCUUGGAAGGUUUCGGCGGGUAGGGAUGGACUCGCGGCUUGUCAGCUUGUUGGUGGGGUAGUGGCUUACCAAGGCUUUGACGGGUAGCCGGGCUGAGAGGGUGACCAGCCAGAUUGGGACUGAGAUACGGCCCAGACUCCUACGGGAGGCAGCAGUGGGGAAUAUUGCACAAUGGGCGGAAGCCUGAUGCAGCAACGCCGCGUGCGGGAUGAAGGCCUUCGGGUUGUAAACCGCUUUCGGCAGGGACGAGGCGAAAGUGACGGUAAUUGGUGAAGAAGCACCGGCUAACUACGUG
rnacentral:rRNA from 1 species